AACGAACGCUGGCGGCAUGCCUAACACAUGCAAGUCGAACGAGACCUUCGGGUCUAGUGGCGCACGGGUGCGUAACGCGUGGGAACCUGCCCUUAGGUUCGGAAUAACUCCCCGAAAGGGGUGCUAAUACCGGAUAAUGUCUUCGGACCAAAGAUUUAUCGCCUUUGGAUGGGCCCGCGUUGGAUUAGCUAGUUGGUAGGGUAAAAGCCUACCAAGGCGACGAUCCAUAGCUGGUCUGAGAGGAUGAUCAGCCACACUGGGACUGAGACACGGCCCAGACUGCGAGGGGACGUAGCGGGGGAGAGUGUGGACCAGGGGCGGAAAGGGGUAAGCAGGACGGCGGAGUGUGUGAUGAACGCCGGAGGGUUCAAAAGCUUUGAGACCAGUGAAGAGAAGGACGGUGACGAGGGCAGCAGCCCGCACUAACGCAGAGCCAGCAGCCAGAGAAAAAGAGGGACGUGCACACCCACGACC
rnacentral:rRNA from 1 species